rnacentral:rRNA from 1 species
AUUGAACGCUGGCGGCAGGCCUAACACAUGCAAGUCGAGCGGAUGAAGGGAGCUUGCUCCUGGAUUCAGCGGCGGACGGGUGAGUAAUGCCUAGGAAUCUGCCUGGUAGUGGGGGAUAACGUCCGGAAACGGGCGCUAAUACCGCAUACGUCCUGAGGGAGAAAGUGGGGGAUCUUCGGACCUCACGCUAUCAGAUGAGCCUAGGUCGGAUUAGCUAGUUGGUGGGGUAAAGGCCUACCAAGGCGACGAUCCGUAACUGGUCUGAGAGGAUGAUCGGUCACAUUGGAACUGGAACACGGUCCAGAGUCCUACGGGAGGCAGCAGUGGGGAAUAUUGGACAAUGGGCGAAAGCCUGAUCCAGCCAUGCCGCGUGUGUGAAGAAGGUCUUCGGAGUGUAAAGCACGUUAAGUUGGGAGGAAGGGCAGUAAGUUAAUACCUUGCUGUUGUGACGUUACCAACAGAAUAAGCACCGGCUAACUUCGUG